CCUAUGCAAUGGUAUUCAUUGUAUGCUUACAGGAGGCAUCAGAGAAAUGGAAUUGGAGAGUUUUUUAAGUAAAAAUUUGUAGUGAAUUUUUUAGCGAUUUGAAAUUUUGUGAUGAUAACGUUUUAUUUUUUGAAUCACGAGACAACUUCAGAGGAUGAUGGUGAAACAAAAAAAGUGAAGCACUAGGGUGGACCUAACAAGGAGUUGGAAGAAAACCUAAUGUUCAACUGAUUUUUCAACACCUAAAAAAGUACAAGAUGGAUCAAACUGUUACAGAGAUUAUGAUAAAGUUAUUUAUUGUGCCUGGAAUGGACAUAUGCCAAAUGCAGAAUCCAGUCGCGUUUUCCUAAACCCAUAGUUCAUACCGUGUCGUCUGGCGUGGACGUAGACCACUGUUGGGUGCUGUGUCGCGUACAACAAGAACCGUGGAAGAAUUUCUGAACC